CUCUAUAGCAGAAGACUCUACAGCAGAAGACUCUACAGCAGAAGACUGUAUAGGAAAAGGAAGCACAGGUCAGUGGCCUUCAGUCAACAGAGAAGCACAACCGAGGAGCAAUCCCAUGGAGAAUGGAACUUUGAUAACCACACAGCACAUGCUCUGCGGAAAGCCAAUGAGACGUACGAAUGCUAGCCAAUCACCUUGUCCUGGAACUCGAGGCUCCUCUGAAUCAGCCUGCUUGGGAAGCUGUCAGUAGAAACUAAGCAAGGACAAGCAGAGAAGUCGACUUUACCAGGAGGAAGUAUCCAGAAAGGAGCCAGCAGUUUUGUUUCUGUAUGAUAA
rnacentral:lncRNA from 1 species